CGUAAGUUAAAAAACGUAACAAGGUCUCCGUUGGUGAACCAGCGGAGGGAUCAUUACCGAGUUUACAACUCCCAAACCCCUGUGAACAUACCAAUUGUUGCCUCGGCGGAUCAGCCCGCUCCCGGUAAAACGGGACGGCCCGCCAGAGGACCCCUAAACUCUGUUUCUAUAUGUAACUUCUGAGUAAAACCAUAAAUAAAUCAAAACUUUCAACAACGGAUCUCUUGGUUCUGGCAUCGAUGAAGAACGCAGCAAAAUGCGAUAAGUAAUGUGAAUUGCAGAAUUCAGUGAAUCAUCGAAUCUUUGAACGCACAUUGCGCCCGCCAGUAUUCUGGCGGGCAUGCCUGUUCGAGCGUCAUUUCAACCCUCAAGCCCCCGGGUUUGGUGUUGGGGAUCGGCGAGCCCUUGCGGCAAGCCGGCCCCGAAAUCUAGUGGCGGUCUCGCUGCAGCUUCCAUUGCGUAGUAGUAAAACCCUCGCAACUGGUACGCGGCGCGGCCAAGCCGUUAAACCCCCAACUUCUGAAUGUUGACCUCGGAUCAGGUAGGAAUACCCGCUGAACUUAAGCAUAUCAAAGGCGGGAGGGAA
rnacentral:rRNA from 1 species